GACGAACGCUGGCGGCGUGCUUAACACAUGCAAGUCGAAUGGAAAGGCCCUGCUUUUGUGGGGUGCUCGAGUGGCGAACGGGUGAGUAACACGUGAGUAACCUGCCCUUGACUUUGGGAUAACUUCAGGAAACUGGGGCUAAUACCGGAUAGGAGCUCCUGCUGCAUGGUGGGGGUUGGAAAGUUUCGGCGGUUGGGGAUGGACUCGCGGCUUAUCAGCUUGUUGGUGGGGUAGUGGCUUACCAAGGCUUUGACGGGUAGCCGGCCUGAGAGGGUGACCGGCCACAUUGGGACUGAGAUGCGGCCCAGACUCCUACGGGAGGCAGCAGGGGGGAAUAUUGCACAAUGGGCGGAAGCCUGAUGCAGCAACGCCGCGUGCGGGAUGACGGCCUUCGGGUUGUAAACCGCUUUCGCCUGUGACGAAGCGUGAGUGACGGUAAUGGGUAAAGAAGCACCGGCUAACUACGUGC
rnacentral:rRNA from 1 species